CGCUCCCGCCGCCCCCGCUUCAGCCCCCGCUCCCCGCCGCCGGCACCCGGCCUCCCCUCCGCUCCCCCCUCUUCCCGCUGGCACCCCGCUUUCCUCACGGAAAGAAAGGGCCGUCUGUUACCAACAGCCCGGCGCUUGCGGGGGGGGGGGGGGGGGGGGGGGGAGCGCCGUGAGGAAGCCUCUGCCCGCCGCCGGCACAGUCCCUCGCCGCCGCAGAGCGGUGGCACCUACGAGUGUUUCCCACAGGAAUGGCCCUCAGCGGUCGCGUGUCGUCGGUGGCGGCGGGUGGGAGGACACCGGGUGACAAAGUGUUGAGGCAGGAGAGGCAGGCGGCACGGAGCGGUGCAGGAGAAAUCCGGCGUGGCUCGUCUGUCCAGGCACCCGCUUCAAGUGCCUCAUCGUGAAGCGCUGAGGGGUUUUUAUGGACAGGGCGCACACGUGAGGAGACUGCAGCAAAGAUCAGCAUAGUUUCAAAACAGCCCAACACAUCCCUGAAGAAACGCUGCUUGAUGAAGCUUCAAGAGGUGACCUUGCAGCAGGAGCUAAGCCUCGGCAGCCUGCGAGCACGGUGCUGCCACCGCUCCGUAGUGCCACGGGAGCUGGCAGCCAUGAAGAGCUGUGCUGCCGAUGCCGUUUGCGGUGUCCAUUCCCCGACUCCCUGCAGAGUCUGGCGCUCUUUGCUCGUGCCAGGGCAAGGCCGGCCGGCUGCACGUGCUUCUGACUGAGCACUGAGCCUCGUCGGUGAGAGGGACGUGCCGUGUCUGGCAGCACCCGAGAACUACUGCGACCGUCCUGCCCAGCAGCUUGCAUCCUCCUGCAAGAAAUUAGAAAUCCGGGGAGACACAUGUGCAGCUGAAGUAAUGCCAUUUUGGGUACAAAGACCACGGUUCAAUUUAAAAUGGGCGACUACUUUCUUUCUUGCACCUGCUAUUUAAUCAGAAAUCCUGAUAAUCCUGAGACAAAGAGGUAUGGAUCUGAUCAGUCCCUUGAAGACUGUUGACUGACUCUGCAAACAAGCGAGAGGCGUGGUGUGUCAGAUGCUAAAUUUCUCAGGAAAGAAGUUAAAAUAAACAAAACCAGUUUUACUUGGAUCCCUCUGCAACGCAGACAUUUAAAUACAGUCGGUUGGGUGCCAGUGACACUGUCAUUGGGAAGAGAAAUCCUGAAGAAAAGAAAGCUGAGCACAUGCCAAAUGGGAACUGAAGAGCCAAGGUGCAAGUAACAGGGGUUCCCCUCAUCCCAGCCUGGAAGCCUGGCCAGAAAUGUCAUGAAACCAUUCAUCCCACACGUGAUGUAUAUUGUUCUAUUAUUCUGUUUUAUUUAAUCUGGCAAUAAAUUGACGUAU